rnacentral:ncRNA from 1 species
GUGUUCAUAGAAAGGAGAGAUGGUUGGCAUCUCUGACAGGGAUGGGAACAUCUUUUAAGCCUUCUUGUUAACACAUCCGGUUAAGGCUAUCCAUUUUGGUGGAUCUUAUACCAGGAUGGCUG